ACACAAGCAACCACAGGGUCGCCAGUGAUUCGUGACUGAAUUUCGAACGCUGGGAUAUCAGUAGAGCAGUACUGGAGUGCUUCAUGAGAAUAUGACAACAAAGAAAAAGAGUCUUCAGGUACCACGGCAUUGACAACAUGACCAGCAAAGAUCUGAUGAUAAAAAUAGUUGAUAAAAUCUCGCAGCAUCAAUUUGAUUAUGUGUAAACUUUCAUACCACCAUCAAAUAAUUCAAAGAUUUACUUCUGUAAGGAGCAGCUGCCAGAAGAUCGAAAUGCCGCCGUGGUGUUUUCAUCAAGACUCGAAAAAAUUGGCAUGUCGCUGCCCAAGUACGUUAGUGCUUAUGAGAUGGCUGAUAGCGAAAGUGUCAAACGUGAAGACGACUACAAAAUCAGGAAAGAGGCAGAAGAAUAUACAUCCUAAGAAGCUGCAACAGCCAGAACAAUCUUAAAACUUUCCUUUUCUAAAUCGCUAUGAUAAGCGACGUAUUUAAAAAUUACUAACGCGUAUA